UACAGAGGUCUCAAGCGUUGUUCGGAUUCAUUGGGCGUAAAGGGUGCGUAGGUGGCGCGCUAAGUCAGGUGUGAAAUUUCGGAGCUUAACUCCGAAACUGCAUUUGAUACUGGCGUGCUUGAGGACUGGAGAGGAGACUGGAAUUCAUGGUGUAGCAGUGAAAUGCGUAGAGAUCAUGAGGAAGACCAGUGGCGAAGGCGGGUCUCUGGACCAGCACUGACACUGAGGCACGAAAGCGUGGGGAGCAAACAGG
rnacentral:rRNA from 1 species